rnacentral:misc_RNA from 1 species
GAUGAAGAACGUAGCGAAAUGCGAUAAGUAAUGUGAAUUGCAGAAUUCAGUGAAUCAUCGAAUCUUUGAACGCACAUUGCGCCCGCCAGUAUUCUGGCGGGCAUGCCUGUCUGAGCGUCAUUUCAACCCUCAUGCCCCUAGGGCGUGGUGUUGGGGAUCGGCCAAAGCCCGCGAGGGACGGCCGGCCCCUAAAUCUAGUGGCGGACCCGUCGUGGCCUCCUCUGCGAAGUAGUGAUAUUCCGCAUCGGAGAGCGAUGAGCCCCUGCCGUUAAACCCCCAACUUUCCAAGGUUGACCUCAGAUCAGGUAGGAAUACCCGCUGAACUUAAGCAUAUCAAUAAGAGGAAGA